rnacentral:rRNA from 1 species
UACGGAGGUGGCAAGCGUUGUCCGGAUUUAUUGGGCGUAAAGCGCGCGCAGGCGGUCUUUUAAGUCUGGUGUUUAAGCCCGGGGCUCAACCUCGGUUCGCAUCGGAAACUGGAAGACUUGAGUGCAGGAGAGGAAAGCGGAAUUCCACGUGUAGCGGUGAAAUGCGUAGAGAUGUGGAGGAACACCAGUGGCGAAGGCGGCUUUCUGGACUGUAACUGACGCUGAGGCGCGAAAGCGUGGGGAGCAAACAGG